UACGAAGGGGGCUAGCGUUGCUCGGAAUCACUGGGCGUAAAGGGCGCGUAGGCGGCCAUUCAAGUCGGGGGUGAAAGCCUGUGGCUCAACCACAGAAUUGCCUUCGAUACUGUUUGGCUUGAGUUUGGUAGAGGUUGGUGGAACUGCGAGUGUAGAGGUGAAAUUCGUAGAUAUUCGCAAGAACACCAGUGGCGAAGGCGGCCAACUGGACCAAUACUGACGCUGA
rnacentral:rRNA from 1 species